rnacentral:lncRNA from 10 species
AGAGGCUACUGAACUCCUCUUCCAGCUUAUUUCUGGUUAAGCUAAUACACAGGUGUGAUACGGAGUAGAUGACUUUUCCCUGCUCUGAUGUUUAGUUUUAUUUUUUUCUCUAACUUGCAUUGAUUCUGCUUCGUUUUUGCCGUUUGCCGCUUCUGUUUUGGUCUCUGUCUGUCUCUGUGUCUCUCUCUGUCUCUCUCUCUCACUCUAUCUGUGUCUUUGGAGGCUAAGCUAAGACUGCCCCAUCUAACCUCCUUCCCCCCUCUCUGUGGGGUGUCUCUCUUUCUCUUUUUUUUCCCCUUUUUCUUCUUCAUACAGAGCUCGCUGCCCAAAUCAUUCAAGAGGAAGAUCUCCGUUGUCUCAGCUACCAAGGGGGUGCCAGCUGGAAACAGUGACACAGAGGGGGGCCAGCCUGGUCGGAAACGACGCUGGGGAGCCAGCACAGCCACCACACAGAAGAAACCUUCCAUCAGUAUCACCACUGAAUCACUAAAGGAGGCUGUUGUGGAUCUUCAUGCUGAUGACUCUCGCAUCUCUGAGGAUGAGACAGAGCGUAAUGGCGAUGAUGGGACCCAUGACAAGGGGCUGAAAAUAUGCCGGACAGUCACUCAGGUAGUACCUGCAGAGGGCCAGGAGAAUGGGCAGAGGGAAGAAGAGGAAGAAGAGAAGGAACCUGAAGCAGAACCUCCUGUACCUCCCCAGGUGUCAGUAGAGGUGGCCUUGCCCCCAC